rnacentral:lncRNA from 1 species
UACAUAUAAUUUAUAGAUACUGCAAGAUAUAGAACGUAUAUAGUCACAUAAUAAAAAGUAUAAUGUAACAUAAUAUCAAAUAUAUAACUUCUCCCCCCAGUGUUCAUCUUGCAGUACAUGUCCUUUGUACCUCAGUAUUGCUAAUCAGAUCACAGAGGGAGAAACAGCUGUCCUAGAAGUUCUCAUAUGAAGGGGACAACGCUGAUUCUGGGCAAUUCCUCAAUUUUGGAAUGUGGUGCUUUCCACGAAUACCGUAUUCCUGUCUGAAAUCAUGACACAAGAAAACUGCAGUCAGCCUUUCCCCAAAGAAGCACCUGAACAGACAGCACGUCUCUGUCACUCUCACCUGGUCUUAUGGUCCAUUAGGUCCAGUCAAGUUCUGUUACGUCUGAGGACCAGCCCAUCUUUAAGGAGAACUUCACUGGCCUGAAGAAAAUGCCAAAGUGAGGGCUUUCUUCUGCACCCAGAUUUCUAGAGAACUUGAUGUUUUCUAGGUAUUCUGUAGAUAAAUAGAUAUAUUUUGCUUCUGAGGGAUCUGUUUAGAAAGUGUGACGGACUUGUUGGGUGAAGACUGACAUUUCUUUACUUCAGCAUUUUGUCAUUUUUUUUGCUUCAUGAAUAAAAUAGUACAUCGUUAGUUUGACA